rnacentral:rRNA from 1 species
CCUACGGGUGGCAGCAGUGAGGAAUAUUGGUCAAUGGGCGCGAGCCUGAACCAGCCAAGUCGCGUGAGGGAAGACUGUCCUAUGGAUUGUAAACUUCUUUUGUAUGGGAGUAAAAGAAGCCACGCGUGGCGUUUCGUGAGUACCCGAAGAAUAAGCAUCGGCUAACUCCGUGCCAGAAGCCGCGGUAAUACGGAGGAUGCGAGCGUUAUCCGGCUUUAUUGGGUUUAAAGGGUGAGCAGGAGGAAGAUCAAGUCAGAGGUAAAAUUGUGGGCCUCAAACUCAUCUAGGCGUUGAAACUGGUAGUCUUGAGUGAGUUAGAGGUAUGCGGAAUUCGUGGUGUAGCGGUGAAAUGCAUAGAUAUCACGCAGAACUCCGAUUGCGAAGGCAGCAUACCGGCGCGCAACUGACGCUGAUGCACGAAAGUGUGGGUAUCGAACAGGAUUAGAUACCCGAGUAGUC